rnacentral:rRNA from 1 species
GUGUCAGCCGCCGCGGUAAUACGGGGGGGGCAAGCGUUGUCCGGAAUUAUUGGGUGUAAAGGGCGCGUAGGCGGAUUUGUAAGUCAGUGGUGAAAUCUCGGGACUUAACUCCGAGACUGCCUCUGAGACUGCUUUUCUUGAGUGUGGAAGAGGAAAUCGGAAUUCCCGGUGUAGCGGUGAAAUGCGUAGAUAUCGGGAAGAACACCAGUGGCGAAGGCGGAUUUCUGGUCCACAACUGACGCUGAGGCGCGAAAGCGUGGGUAGCAAACAGGAUUAGAAACCCUCGUAGUCC